rnacentral:rRNA from 1 species
GACGAACGCUGGCGGCGUGCCUAAUACAUGCAAGUUGAGCGCUGAAGGUUGGUACUUGUACCAACUGGAUGAGCAGCGAACGGGUGAGUAACGCGUGGGGAAUCUGCCUUUGAGCGGGGGACAACAUUUGGAAACGAAUGCUAAUACCGCAUAAAAUCUUUAAACACAAGUUUCAAGAUUGAAAGAUGCAAUUGCUUCACUCAAAGAUGAUCCCGCGUUGUAUUAGCUAGUUGGUGAGGUAAAGGCUCACCAAGGCGAUGAUACAUAGCCGACCUGAGAGGGUGAUCGGCCACAUUGGAACUGAGACACGGCCCAAACUCCUACGGGAGGCAGCAGUAGGGAAUCUUCGGCAAUGGGCGAAAGCCUGACCGAGCAACGCCGCGUGAGUGAAGAAGGUUUUCGGAUCGUAAAACUCUGUUGUUAGGGAAGAACGAAGGUGAAAGUGAAAAGCCCAGCAUGGAACGGAACCAACCAGAAAGGGACGGCUAAACUCGGG